UUAAGGGAGACCGAACCUGCCUUAUUGAUUCGACUAUUAAUAGUCGAGGUAAUAUCGAUGAGAUGGUCAACCGAAGGUCGUUGGGGAUUGGAGAAAAGGCUUUCAAACUAUAAUUUCGGUUUUUUGAGGAAAUGAUUUAGCACCUAAACUAGGAACAAAUAGUUAAUAGUUUAGAAUGCUGAAAUUGAUUUCAGCCAGAACCAUGAAAACUGCAUAGUGACGUAAAUGUAAUGUAGGUAGCAAUUCUUGGACUACUGAGCAAUUUGUUGGUUGGUAACAACUGGGAGAUUGUGAGGAAGAACAAGAUUGAUGACGUACAUUCACAGACAAAAAAUUGAUUUGAUUAGAAUU
rnacentral:misc_RNA from 1 species